UGAGAGAGUGCUGUCUGCGGAUCGGCAUGCUCAUGUCUACUCCCCACUGCCAGAGUGGGCCCGGCGUCUAACCUUCUCCUCUGCCCAUGGUGGACCUGCAUACAGACAUGACUCUGCUGGCCUCCUGGAGAAGCACCACCUCUGGAGCAUGGAUGACGGUUUGGGGAAUUUGGAGCAGAAAGGCUAUUCCUGGCAGUCCUUGGGGGUAUGCCCAGCUUCCUGAUGGCUAGCAGACCCUGGGACUAACCAGGCUGUGGAACUCGGCCUGGCCGUGACCUCGGGUCCCAAACCUGCCGGUGGUGCCCUGCUUGUCAUCUGCAGCCUUGUCAGGGCCAGCUCCGUGUUCCUCUGAGUCCCUGGUGGAGCGUACUGAGUUAUGUAAUGCUGCUGAGCCAACAUCGGAGUCAAGCUGGAGAGCACUGCCUGAUAAGGCGGGUAAAUCUGGAGUACUGGCAGCAGGGUGAUAGCAUGGUCAAGUUCUCACACCAGAAGAAAGGAUCAGAGUCUGUCUACACCUGGGUGUGCCCCAUGUGAUUGGGGUUCUCUCCACCCAGUCCUUCCUCACCCCCAGCCCCAGCCCCAGCCCCAGCCUAGCCCACCCCCACCCCUAGCCCCACCCUCAUCCCCCCCAUUCCCAUUCCCUCAACUUCCCGAAGUUCGGGUGAAAUCUGCAUAUCCCAAAGCUAUCCCCACCCCCCAGCUCUGGUCUCCCUGCUUCCACAGACAGGCACCACUGCCCUGUUUUAGAAUACCGUGUUUAUUUUUCCUGCCGUUGGGCACCGUCUUCAGUACACCUUCAUUUGUUUACUUGCUUGCCUGUUUCUGACCCUUCCGGAUGAGACUUUACCCGAGGAAAGCUAAAGUCUAAGCACGUUCGCACGCGUGCGGCUGUUUGGGUUUUAAGCUUCAACUACCCUCUCUCCCUCUUCUCUCCUUCCCUCACUCGGCCAUCUCCCCGGCUCAUACAGAGCAGCUCCCGAAGCUCGAAGGCGUCCGCCUGCCUGUCUCUGC